rnacentral:lncRNA from 1 species
GGAACUACCUAACUUGUAGCACUUGGAUCUAUCUUGGAACGAAAAUCUCAUAGGUAGUUGCUCUCAACUGUUAAGCGGAAGCUGGAAGAAGAUAGAAUUUUUGAAUUUGGCAUCCAAUAACUUUCUUGGUACGUUUUUGGCUUAGAAAAAUUAUUAUUGCUUAUUGAUUUUGAUACAUCAAAAUAAUGCAGUGGUUCUGCAGUCUAACACUUGUUUUUAAAAAAUAUUUGGCAUUAAAUUAUUCUGACUUUCCAAU